rnacentral:rRNA from 1 species
AUUGAACGCUGGCGGCAGGCCUAACACAUGCAAGUCGAACGAGUGGCGGACGGGUGAGUAAUGUCUGGGAAACUGCCUGAUGGAGGGGGAUAAAUACUGGAAAAGGUAGCUAAUACCGCAUACCAUCAGAUGGGCCCAUGUGGGUUUAGCUAGUUGGUGGGGUAACGGCUCACCAAGGGGACGAUCCCUAGCGGGUCUGAGAGGAUGACCAGCCACACUGGAACUGAGACACGGUCCAGACUCCUACGGGAGGCAGCAGUGGGGAAUAUUGCGCAAUGGGCGCAAGCCUGAUGCAGCCAUGCCGCGUGUAUGAAGAAGGCCUUCGGGUUGUAAAGUACUGUCAGCGGGGAGGCGUUACCCGCAGAAGAAGCACCGGCUAACUCCGUGCCAGCAGCCGCGGUAAUUC